AUUAUUUCAGGUGCUUUAUGAAGGCUUAAUAGGGAAUCCUGUGAAAAUCAGGGACGGGCCCGCCGCUGUAUUCAGGGACAAAAUUCACUUAAUUACCACUGUCCUGUAUUGGGAUGGGAAGGUGUGAAUGGAGAAUGAUCUGAGAGUCAGAAGACCUACCUGGAUAU
rnacentral:ncRNA from 1 species